rnacentral:rRNA from 1 species
AUGUCCAACUCCAACGUCACAGUGUGUGUGCGAUUCAGGCCGCUGAGCCACAAAGAGAGGAAGGCCAAUGACAAGGUCUGCUUCAAGAAAUUGGACUCCGAGUCUUUUGUUUUCAAGGAUGAGCGCGACGAAGAUGUCAUAUUCAGCUUUGACAAGGUGUUCUAUGAUGAUGCGGAACAGUCUGAUGUAUACAAUUUCCUUGCAGUGCCCAUUGUUGCAGAUGCUGUCAAUGGAAUAAAUGGGACCAUAAUUUCUUAUGGUCAGACUGGAGCUGGAAAAACAUAUAGCAUGGAGGGGCCAAGCAUCUUGCACUGCAAUGAGCUGAAAACUGGACUGGUUCAGCGUGUUGUAAAUGAUCUUUUUGAAUGUUUAAGAACAUCAGAAGACAUCACUACAUGGACUGUGAAAUUGUCAAUGGUGGAGAUAUAUUUGGAAAAAGUAAGGGACCUUCUUGACUUGUCCAAGGACAACCUACAAAUCAAGGAGAGUAAAAGCCAAGGGAUUUUUAUUUAUGGAGCAACAGAGAUAUCGAUUAUGAAUAGUUCAGAUGCCUUGGAGCGCCUUUCUGAAGGAAUUGCCAACAGAGCUGUUGGAGAAACACAAAUGAACCUGGCCAGCAGUAGAAGUCACUGCGUGUACAUUUUCUCCGUGCAGCAUGGAUCCACUGCAGAUGAUAAGGUAAGGGCCGGGAAGAUUGUUCUUGUUGACUUGGCUGGUUCAGAGAAAGUUGAGAAAACUGGUGCUGAAGGGCGUGUUCUUGAUGAGGCGAAAACAAUCAACAAGUCGCUCUCAGCUCUUGGAAAUGUUAUUAAUGCCCUAACUACUGCUAAACCGAAUCAUGUCCCUUACCGUGACUCGAAGCUUACACGCAUACUUCAAGAUGCACUGGGUGGCAGCUCAAGAGCUGCAUUGCUAUGCUGCUGUUCUCCUAGUUCGUCGAACGCACCAGAAAGUCUGUCUACCAUUCGCUUUGGAACCAGGACGAAGCUCAUAAAGACUCUACCCAAACUGAUUCCCAAUGAAGUGGACAGCGUCAAGAAGCCCACCUGCUAUUCUCAUGAUCAAGAUGAUCCGCGUGGCAGAGCACCAAGCAAGGCUGGUAGCAGCCAGUCUGAGGUGUCCGAUCCGAGCCUUGAUUCUUAUGAUCAUGAUGAUUUGCGUGACAGGAUACUGAGCAAGCUAAGGUUGAGUCUGAAGGAGGAGGACGUGGAUCUGCUGGAGGAGCUGUUUGUGCAGGAAGGUAUCAUCUUCGACCCCGACGCAGCGGUGCCGGACAUCGACCUGGCGUUCCAAGACGUCGCGAGCCGGCAGAUUGUGUCGCUCGUGCAAACAGUGGAGGAGCUCACAGAAACUGUGCAAGAGCUCACUGACGAGAACGAGAAAUUGAGGCAUCAGCUCGAGUUCGCGCAGGAGAUCGCCGCCCGCGCCCAGUGCGCCACCGCGGACCGGAGCCGUGGUGCCCUGUUUGGUUUCGUGCCGGCGGCCGUCCUCCGCCCCUUUGGAUUCGUUCCAGACUGA